rnacentral:rRNA from 1 species
AUUGAACGCUGGCGGCAGGCCUAACACAUGCAAGUCGAACGAGUGGCGGACGGGUGAGUAAUGUCUGGGAAACUGCAUGAUGGAGGGGGAUAACUACUGGAAACGGUAGCUAAUACAGCAUACCAUCAGAUGUGCCCAGAUGGGAUUAGCUUGUUGGUGGGAUAACGGCUAACCAAGGGGACGAUCCCUAGCUAGUCUGAGUGUAUGACCGGCCACACUGGAACUGAGACACGGUCCAGACUCCGAGGGGGGGCAGCAGUGGGGAAUAUUGCACAAUGGGCGCAAGCCUGAUGCAGCCAGGCCGCGUGUAUGAAGAAGGCCUUCGGGUUGUAAAGUACUUGCAGCGGUGAGGCGUUACCCGAAGAAGAAGCAACGGCUAACUCCGUGCCAGCAGCCGCGGUAAUAC